rnacentral:rRNA from 1 species
UACGUAGGGGGCAAGCGUUGUCCGGAUUUAUUGGGCGUAAAGAGCGUGUAGGCGGCCAAGCAGGUCCGCUGUGAAAACUCGAGGCUCAACCUCGAGACGUCGGUGGAAACCGUUUGGCUAGAGUCCGGAAGAGGAGAGUGGAAUUCCCGGUGUAGCGGUGAAAUGCGCAGAUAUCGGGAAGAACACCAGUGGCGAAGGCGGCUCUCUGGGACGGUACUGACGCUGAGACGCGAAAGCGUGGGGAGCGAACAGG